AAGAAUUGUUUAACAUUAAAACAAAAUUAUAUGCAUUAAAAACAAAUUAAGUCACAUUAGUUUGAUAACUUACACUCAACUUUGCAUUUUGCAACAUAUAAAACCUUUUGUUUAUCUCUUUCGCACAAUUUUAUUUGUUUCUCUGUCUUUUAUUUGAAAUCUUGUGUAAAGACAAUGUCUUCAAAGAGCCUUGCAGAAGUGAGUGGUGAAAUGAACCUAAAGAUUGAAGAACGUCCUGCUGAAUAAGCAGUUGCUACGUCACUAUCCUCAAGCUUAUCCAGUAAAUGGACGUCCAGUCGAUGAAAUUGCUCUUGUAGUGGCCAUUGCGAACCUUGAAUAUGAGAAAAAAAAAAGUUGAAAAGGCUAUCCUUAGAGAUGGAAAACUCGAUGGUACAAAUGACUUCUUAUAUAUUAAAAGAACCACAGUGAUAGGUUAAUCAUGAUUUCUUAAUUAUGUAAAUACAUAAUUGAGAAUUUUCUCUAUCUCUAAACACUUAUUAGAUUGGUACGUGGAAACCCCACUAUUGAUACUUUUAUUUCAAAAUCUCUUAUGUAAAUAAAUUAUUUAGAAAGUGCUAUGUUUUUCAGCACCUAAAUGGUUUAAAUGUAGCUAGUUGCUACUGCAAGAGUUUGACAACGAUUAAAUUGAAAAUGACUAAAACAAAU
rnacentral:sRNA from 1 species